CAAUAUGGCCAAGCCUCCUGAACAAAUCCAGAUCUUAUCAACCCUUUGAACCUAAGCAGGGCUGGGCCUGGUUAGUACUUGGAAGGGAGACCACUGGUAACUUCAAGUGCCACAGUGC
rnacentral:rRNA from 1 species